GAUGAACGCUGACAGAAUGCUUAACACAUGCAAGUCAACUUGAACUUCGGUUUGGGUGGCGGACGGGUGAGUAACGCGUAAAGAACUUGCCUCACAGCUAGGGACAGCAUUUGGAAACGAAUGCUAAUACCUGAUAUUAUGAUUUUAGGGCAUCCUAGAAUUAUGAAAGCUAUAUGCGCUGUGAGAGAGCUUUGCGUCCCAUUAGCUAGUUGGAGAGGUAACGGCUCACCAAGGCGAUGAUGGGUAGCCGGCCUGAGAGGGUGAACGGCCACAAGGGGACUGAGACACGGCCCUUACUCCUACGGGAGGCAGCAGUGGGGAAUAUUGGACAAUGGACCAAGAGUCUGAUCCAGCAAUUCUGUGUGCACGAUGAAGUUUUUCGGAAUGUAAAGUGCUUUCAGUUGGGAAGAAAAAAAUGACGGUACCAACAGAAGAAGUGACGGCUAAAUACGUG
rnacentral:rRNA from 1 species